GCUGGAUGUGGUGGGGCACACCUGUAGUCCCAGCUACUUGGGAGGCUGAGGUAGGAGGAUCGCUGGAGCCCAGGAGGUCAAGGCUGCAGUGAACUAUGAUCAUGCCACUGUGUUCCAGCCUGGGCAACAGAGCAAGACCCUAUCUCAA
rnacentral:SRP_RNA from 1 species